UGGGGAAUCUUGGACAAUGGGGGCAACCCUGAUCCAGCCAUGCCGCGUGAGUGAUGAAGGCCUUAGGGUCGUAAAGCUCUUUCGCCUGUGAAGAUAAUGACGGUAGCAGGUAAAGAAACCCCGGCUAACUCCGUGCCAGCAGCCGCGGUAAUACGGAGGGGGUUAGCGUUGUUCGGAAUUACUGGGCGUAAAGCGCACGUAGGCGGACCAGAAGUUGGGGGUGAAAUCCCGGGGCUCAACCCCGGAACUGUCUCCAAAACUAUUGGUCUAGAGUUCGAGAGAGGUGAGUGGAAUUCCAAGUGUAGAGGUGAAAUUCGUAGAUAUUUGGAGGAACACCAGUGGCGAAGGCGGCUCACUGGCUCGAUACUGACGCUGAGGUGCGAAAGUGUGGGG
rnacentral:rRNA from 1 species